CUCAACAUUAUCCCAAGAUCUUCCUUUUGCUGCUGAUAUAUUUGCAGAAGCCCUUCUUGUUGUCCUUGAGGUAUUUUGCCAGUUGCAAUUCCAGGAUAUAACCUCAUGAAGUUCAACUGGGGAAAGUGCCAAGUCCUUCACCUGGGAUAGAACAGCCUGAGGCAGCAGGAGAUGCUGGGUGCCAUCCUGCUGAGAAGCAGCUUUGUGGAAAAGGCCUUGGAGCUGGACACCCAGUUGACCAUGAGCCAGCAAUGUGCCCUUGCUGGAAAGAAGGCCAUCCUGGGCUGCAUUAGACAAAGUGUUGCCAGCAGUUUGGGGAAGGUGAUCCUUUCCCUCUGCUCAGUACAGGUGUUACCUGGAUCAAGCUCCAGCAAUAAAAGGGAGCAGUAAAGACCUGCAGAACAGAGCUGCCCUAAGGCCCCUUCCAACUCAGCAUAUUCUGUGAUCA